rnacentral:rRNA from 1 species
UACGAAGGGGGCUAGCGUUGCUCGGAAUCACUGGGCGUAAAGCGCACGUAGGCGGCUUCUUAAGUCAGGGGUGAAAUCCUGGAGCUCAACUCCAGAACUGCCUUUGAUACUGAGGAGCUUGAGUCCGGGAGAGGUGAGUGGAACUGCGAGUGUAGAGGUGAAAUUCGUAGAUAUUCGCAAGAACACCAGUGGCGAAGGCGACUCGCUGGACAGGUAUUGACGCUGAGGUGCGAAAGCGUGGGGAGCAAACAGG